AUGCAAGUCGAACGAUGAAGCCUUUCGGGGUGGAUUAGUGGCGAACGGGUGAGUAACACGUGGGCAAUCUGCCCUGCACUCUGGGACAAGCCCUGGAAACGGGGUCUAAUACCGGAUGACACUCUUUCUCGCAUGGGGGAGGGUUGAAAGCUCCGGCGGUGCAGGAUGAGCCCGCGGCCUAUCAGCUUGUUGGUGGGGUGAUGGCCUACCAAGGCGACGACGGGUAGCCGGCCUGAGAGGGCGACCGGCCACACUGGGACUGAGACACGGCCCAGACUCCUACGGGAGGCAGCAGUGGGGAAUAUUGCACAAUGGGCGGAAGCCUGAUGCAGCGACGCCGCGUGAGGGAUGACGGCCUUCGGGUUGUAAACCUCUUUCAGCAGGGAAGAAGCGCAAGUGACGGUACCUGCAGAAGAAGCACCGGCUAACUACGUGCCAGCAGCCGCGGUAAUACGUAGGGUGCGAGCGUUGUCCGGAAUUAUUGGGCGUAAAGAGCUCGUAGGCGGCUUGUCGCGUCGGAUGUGAAAGCCCGGGGCUUAACCCCGGGUCUGCAUUCGAUACGGGCAGGCUAGAGUGUGGUAGGGGAGAUCGGAAUUCCUGGUGUAGCGGUGAAAUGCGCAGAUAUCAGGAGGAACACCGGUGGCGAAGGCGGAUCUCUGGGCCAUUACUGACGCUGAGGAGCGAAAGCGUGGGGAGCGAACAGGAUUAGAUACCCUGGUAGUCCACGCCGUAAACGUUGGGAACUAGGUGUUGGCGACAUUCCACGUCGUCGGUGCCGCAGCUAACGCAUUAAGUUCCCCGCCUGGGGAGUACGGCCGCAAGGCUAAAACUCAAAGGAAUUGACGGGGGCCCCGCACAAGCAGCGGAGCAUGUGU
rnacentral:rRNA from 1 species